CAGUCGAGCGACAGAUAGGAGCUUGCUCCUUUGAAGUUAGCGGCGGACGGGUGAGUAACACGUGGGUAACCUACCUAUAAGACUGGAAUAACUUCGGGAAACCGGAGCUAAUGCCGGAUAACAUUUGGAACCGCAUGGUUCUAAAGUAAAAGAUGGUUUUGCUAUCACUUAUAGAUGGACCCGCGCCGUAUUAGCUAGUUGGUAAGGUAACGGCUUACCAAGGCAACGAUACGUAGCCGACCUGAGAGGGUGAUCGGCCACACUGGAACUGAGACACGGUCCAGACUCCUACGGGAGGCAGCAGUAGGGAAUCUUCCGCAAUGGACGAAAGUCUGACGGAGCAACGCCGCGUGAGUGAUGAAGGUUUUCGGAUCGUAAAACUCUGUUAUUAGGGAAGAACAAAUGUGUAAGUAACUGUGCACAUCUUGACGGUACCUAAUCAGAAAGCCACGGCUAACUACGUGCCAGCAGCCGCGGUAAUACGUAGGUGGCAAGCGUUAUCCGGAAUUAUUGGGCGUAAAGCGCGCGUAGGCGGUUUCUUAAGUCUGAUGUGAAAGCCCACGGCUCAACCGUGGAGGGUCAUUGGAAACUGGGAAACUUGAGUACAGAAGAGGAAAGUGGAAUUCCAUGUGUAGCGGUGAAAUGCGCAGAGAUAUGGAGGAACACCAGUGGCGAAAGCGACUUUCUGGUCUGUAACUGACGCUGAUGUGCGAAAGCGUGGGGAUCAAACAGGAUUAGAUACCCUGGUAGUCCACGCCGUAACGAUGA
rnacentral:rRNA from 1 species